rnacentral:lncRNA from 1 species
UGCUCGGCUGCCCCCUAAACCUCUUUGGAAGGGUUUAAUGGCUUUAAUACUUGAUAGAAGAAAUGAGAACUCUUCAACAGAACUUCUUUGGACCCCACAGGUGCUUGGCAACAAACAACCAUAUAGCUGCAGUUGCCAAUGGCAACCAACCCUUGCUGUCAGGAAGCACUGGGCUUCAGCCAUCUGGAGGAAGGAGGAGCAGAGACAUGUGGAGAGCCAGGUGCUGCCUGGAGCCCCUUGCUGAAAGUCUGACUUCCCUAUGAUGCCUAUGAAUAACUGCCUGUGUAUGCUGCUAUCUCAGCAGGGUAAAGAUGCCCUGCCUGGUGAAAUGACAUCUGGAUAUUUCCCAGCUCAGCACCACAGCCCGAAGAAUUCACAAAUGAGAUAAUCACUAAUGGGAGGAUUAGUAUGCUUCCUCGGGGGAGUGACCUCUUCCUCACGGCGAAGCCGCAGCAGAAGAAAUUGUGAUCCAUGGUUUUCAUCAACAAGACCCCUUUUUGGUUGACUCAUCUGAUGUGAAAAUGAAAUGCAAUAUCAUUUAUUCUGCAGUCAAGAGGAUAAUUAAUGAGCCACUCAUUUCUGAAUGAAAGCCUCCGGGAAUAAAACAACCUGGCCUCGCA